GAUGAACGCUGGCGGCGUGCCUAAUACAUGCAAGUCGAGCGAACGGACGAGAAGCUUGCUUCUCUGAUGUUAGCGGCGGACGGGUGAGUAACACGUGGAUAACCUACCUAUAAGACUGGGAUAACUUCGGGAAACCGGAGCUAAUACCGGAUAAUAUUUUGAACCGCAUGGUUCAAAAGUGAAAGACGGUCUUGCUGUCACUUAUAGAUGGAUCCGCGCUGCAUUAGCUAGUUGGUAAGGUAACGGCUUACCAAGGCAACGAUGCAUAGCCGACCUGAGAGGGUGAUCGGCCACACUGGAACUGAGACACGGUCCAGACUCCUACGGGAGGCAGCAGUAGGGAAUCUUCCGCAAUGGGCGAAAGCCUGACGGAGCAACGCCGCGUGAGUGAUGAAGGUCUUCGGAUCGUAAAACUCUGUUAUUAGGGAAGAACGUAUGUGUAAGUAACUGUGCACAUCUUGACGGUACCUAAUCAGAAAGCCACGGCUAACUACGUGCCAGCAGCCGCGGUAAUACGUAGGUGGCAAGCGUUAUCCGGAAUUAUUGGGCGUAAAGCGCGCGUAGGCGGUUUUUUAAGUCUGAUGUGAAAGCCCACGGCUCAACCGUGGAGGGUCAUUGGAAACUGGAAAACUUGAGUGCAGAAGAGGAAAGUGGAAUUCCAUGUGUAGCGGUGAAAUGCGCAGAGAUACGGAGGAACACCAGUGGCGAAGGCGACUUUCUGGUCUGUAACUGACGCUGAUGUGCGAAAGCGUGGGGAUCAAACAGGAUUAGAUACCCUGGUAGUCCACGCCGUAAACGAUGAGUGCUAAGUGUUAGGGGGUUUCCGCCCCUUAGUGCUGCAGCUAACGCAUUAAGCACUCCGCCUGGGGAGUACGACCGCAAGGUUGAAACUCAAAGGAAUUGACGGGGACCCGCACAAGCGGUGGAGCAUGUGGUUUAAUUCGAAGCAACGCGAAGAACCUUACCAAAUCUUGACAUCCUUUGACAACUCUAGAGAUAGAGCCUUCCCCUUCGGGGGACAAAGUGACAGGUGGUGCAUGGUUGUCGUCAGCUCGUGUCGUGAGAUGUUGGGUUAAGUCCCGCAACGAGCGCAACCCUUAAGCUUAGUUGCCAUCAUUAAGUUGGGCACUCUAAGUUGACUGCCGGUGACAAACCGGAGGAAGGUGGGGAUGACGUCAAAUCAUCAUGCCCCUUAUGAUUUGGGCUACACACGUGCUACAAUGGACAAUACAAAGGGCAGCGAAACCGCGAGGUCAAGCAAAUCCCAUAAAGUUGUUCUCAGUUCGGAUUGUAGUCUGCAACUCGACUACAUGAAGCUGGAAUCGCUAGUAAUCGUAGAUCAGCAUGCUACGGUGAAUACGUUCCCGGGUCU
rnacentral:rRNA from 1 species